rnacentral:rRNA from 1 species
UACGUAGGGGGCAAGCGUUGUCCGGAAUCAUUGGGCGUAAAGAGCGUGUAGGCGGCCCGAUAAGUCCGCUGUGAAAGUCCAGGGCUCAACCCUGGAAUGCCGGUGGAUACUGUCGGGCUCGAAUCCGGAAGAGGUGAGUGGAAUUCCUGGUGUAGCGGUGAAAUGCGCAGAUAUCAGGAGGAACACCGAUGGCGAAGGCAGCUCGCUGGGACGGUACUGACGCUGAGACGCGAAAGCGUGGGGAGCAAACAGG